AUGGGUGCUGGGUCCAACAAUUCGCAUUGGUCUCAAACCAAUGACAUCCAUUUCGAAGACCAUGAGUUUGAGGUGGACGAGGAGGGUGAGGGAAUUGUCGAGGCGCCGGAAGGAAGAGCGGGCAGUUACUAUGCCAUGGGUGGCGGUGGCUUCGGCGCCAUGGGUGGCGGUGGCCUCGGCACCAUGGGUGGCGGUGGCCUCGGCGCCAUGGGAGGCAUGGGUGGCUUCGGAGCCAUGGGAGACAUGGGUGCACAACCGGCCGCCAUGGGAGGCAUGGGUGCACCUCCGGCCGCCAUGGGAGGCAUGGGUGCACCUCCGGCCGCCAUGGGAGGCAUGGGUGCACCUCCGGCCGCCAUGGGAGGCAUGGAUGGCUUUGGAGCACCCUCCGACGCUAUGGCCGCCAUGGGAGGCAUGCGUUUUGCUUCUCUCAUGGGAGGCAUGGGUGCACCUCCGGCCGCCAUGGGUGCAAUGUCUUUCGAUGUGCCUUCUCACACACAUUCCCAUGAAGAUGCCAUUGAAGAUCUUGCCAACACCGUUGGAGCUUCACAUGAUGCGGUGCGUGAUGAGGAGAGGGAGGAAGAUUCAUCUUCGGAGGCGGAAGAGUCGUCUUCGGAAGAUGAGGACGAAGACGAAGACGAGGAAGAUGAAGAUUGA
rnacentral:rRNA from 1 species